GAUGAACGCUGACCGAAUGCUUAACACAUCAGCAAUGGAUUGGUGGCGGACGGGUGAGUAACGCGUAAAGAACUUACCUCACAGUUAGGAGCAACAUUUGGAAAGGAAUGCUAAUACCUAAUACUGUGGGAGAGCUUUGCGUCCCAUUAGCAAGUUGGAGAGGUAACGGCUCACCAAGGCGAUGAUGGGUAGCCGGCCUGAGAGGGUGAUCGGCCACAAGGGGACUGGGACACGGCCCUUACUCCUACGGGAGGCAGGAGUGGGGAAUAUUGGACAAUGGACCAAAGUCUGAUCAAGCAAUUCUGUGUGCACGAUGAAGUUGUCGGAAUGUAAAGUGCUUUCAGUUGGGAAGCGGUACCAACAGAAGAAGUGACGGCUAAAUACGUGCCAGCAGCCGCGGUAAUAC
rnacentral:rRNA from 1 species